rnacentral:lncRNA from 1 species
AUGUGUUCUAACAUAUCCGAUAGUUGGUCAUUCGAUCGACCUCUCUUGUUAUUUACUCAAUACAGUAAAUAUUUGCAGUGUAUGGGAGCUUUGUAUGUUCAAAUUGGUCUUGGAUAUAUUGGAAUGUUGUUGAAUUUGAAAAUGAUGAAUUUCGGGUCUCUUGUCUUUCUACAUGUCAAUUUAAAUAUUUGCAGUUAGCAGGAAGGUUUUCUUUGGGAUAUAUAAUAGGCUAG